CUACGGGGUGCAGCAGUGGGGAAUAUUGCACAAUGGGCGCAAGCCUGAUGCAGCCAUGCCGCGUGUGUGAAGAAGGCCUUCGGGUUGUAAAGUACUUUCAGCGGGGAGGAAGGGAGUAAAGUUAAUACCUUUGCUCAUUGACGUUACCCGCAGAAGAAGCACCGGCAAACUCCGUGCCAGCAGCCGCGGUAAUACGGAGGGUGCAAGCGUUAAUCGGAAUUACUGGGCGUAAAGCGCACGCAGGCGGUUUGUUAAGUCAGAUGUGAAAUCCCCGGGCUCAACCUGGGAACUGCAUCUGAUACUGGCAAGCUUGAGUCUCGUAGAGGGGGGUAGAAUUCCAGGUGUAGCGGUGAAAUGCGUAGAGAUCUGGAGGAAUACCAGUGGCGAAGGCGGCCCCCUGGACGAAGACUGACGCUCAGGUGCGAAAGCGUGGGGAGCAAACAGGAUUAGAUACCCGAGUAGUC
rnacentral:rRNA from 1 species